UUACAGCCAUAUCAUGUUGAAAUACCAGUUCGCAUAUGAUUACUGAAGUUAAGCAAUGUUGAGCCUGGUUAGUAUCUAGAUGGGUGACUGCUUGGGAAUAGCAAGUGC